UGCGGAGGGAUCAUUACAGAGUUUUCUAAACUCCCAACCCUAUGUGAACUUACCUUUGUUGCUUCGGCGGCGGAGGCUACCCUGCGGGAGAAUACCACUUAGUGGUUACCCUGUAGUUUUAGGUACAUCAGCUACCCGGUAGUCAUCCCCGCCGGCGGCCAACUAAACUCUGUUUUCUUUGGAAUUCUGAAUAACAAACUUAAUAAGUUAAAACUUUCAACAACGGAUCUCUUGGUUCUGGCAUCGAUGAAGAACGCAGCGAAAUGCGAUAAGUAAUGUGAAUUGCAGAAUUCAGUGAAUCAUCGAAUCUUUGAACGCACAUUGCGCCCAUUAGCAUUCUAGUGGGCAUGCCUGUUCGAGCGUCAUUUCACCACUUAAGCCUUGUUGCUUAGCGUUGGGAGCCUACGGCACGGCCCGUAGCUCCUUAAAGUGAUUGGCGGAGUUGGUUCUCACUCUAAGCGUAGUAAUUAUAUCUCGCUUCUGUAGUGGUCCCGGCCCCUGCCGUAAAACCCCUUAUACAAAGGUUGACCUCGGAUCAGGUAGGAAUACCCGCUGAACUUAAG
rnacentral:rRNA from 1 species